rnacentral:rRNA from 1 species
UACUGUGAGAGAAAGUUAGUGAAGG